rnacentral:rRNA from 1 species
GAUGAACGCUAGCUACAGGCUUAACACAUGCAAGUCGAGGGACCGGCGCCUGGGUGAGUAACACGUAUCCAACCUGCCCUUUACUCGGUGAUAUCCUUUCGACAGAAAGCUUAAUACCCGAUGUAAAGUAUGUGGAUGCGUUCAAUUAGGUUGUUGGUGAGGUAACGGCUCACCAAGCCUUCGAUGGAUAGGGGUUCUGAGAGGAAGGUCCCCCACAGUGGAACUGAGACACGUGCCAAACGCCUACGGGAGGAAGGAGUGAGGAAUAUUGGUCAAUGGGCGUGAGCCUGACCCAGCCAAGUAGCGUGAAGGAUGAAGGCUUAUGGGUCGUAAACUUCUUUUAUAUAAGAAUAUGUAUUAUAUGAAUAAGGAUCGGCUAACUCCGUGCCAGCAGCCGCGGUAAUAC